rnacentral:lncRNA from 14 species
GGAAAACUGUAGCAGGUUCCUUUCCAAUGCAGUAGGCAGCGGUUCCUGGUGGAGACACAGUGUGGGCGCCAGGUGGCCUCAGCUGUGUGUGUGUGACCUGCAGGCACCGCCGGGGAGUGCAGUGAUGCAUUCAUGAGGACGCUGAUGAGGACAGCUCUCUGAUUCCUGGGCAGGUGUCACACCUGCAGAUCACGAGGCCUCCCAGAGCUUAUGCCUUCAGGCUAACCUGAAACAGAUACUGCCACCAGUGCAUGGUCCUCUUAGUCAACCUUGCAGCUCCACGUGCUUCACGCUGCCCACAAUGCCAACCUUACCUGAAGACAAGGGACAAGCAAAAGAGGCCCAGCACAACAGCUCUCCUCCAGCCAAAGACACAACUGUUGAAGGGACAACAUGCAGCACACCUUCUAUUGUUCUUCCAGAGAAUGCUGUCACUCCAGAUGUAGAAAUUGAUAAAAAUCUGGUUAACAGGUACUGUAUAAUACAUUACCAAUCCAUCCAUAAAUUUCAGGGGCUGUGUUUCUAAAACAUUGCUCUGAAAUGUAUGUUGUAUGAAAAUAUUAAUGCUACAUCUC